GACGAACGCUGGCGGCGUGCUUAACACAUGCAAGUCGAACGGAAAGGCCCUGCUUUUGUGGGGUGCUCGAGUGGCGAACGGGUGAGUAACACGUGAGUAACCUGCCCUUGACUUUGGGAUAACUUCAGGAAACUGGGGCUAAUACCGGAUAGGAGCUCCUGCUGCAUGGUGGGGGUCGGAAAGUUUCGGCGGUUGGGGAUGGACUCGCGGCUUAUCAGCUUGUUGGUGGGGUAGUGGCUUACCAAGGCUUUGACGGGUAGCCGGCCUGAGAGGGUGACCGGCCACAUUGGGACUGCGAUACGGACCAGACGGCUACGGGAGGCAGCAGUGGGGAAUAUUGCACAAUGGGCGGAAGCCUGAUGCAGCAACGCCGCGUGCGGGAUGACGGCCUUCGGGUUGUAAACCGCUUUCGCCUGUGACGAAGCGUGAGUGACGGUAAUGGGUAAAGAAGCACCGGCUAACUACGUG
rnacentral:rRNA from 1 species